rnacentral:rRNA from 1 species
ACUCCUACGGGAGGCAGCAGCAGGGAAUCUUGCGCAAUGGGCGAAAGCCUGACGCAGCGACACCGCGUGGGGGAAGAAGGCCUUAGGGUUGUAAACCCCUUUUCUGUGGGAAGAGAUAGGACGGUACCGCAGGAAUAAGCAUCGGCUAACUCC